rnacentral:rRNA from 1 species
UACGGGGGGGGCAAGCGUUGUUCGGAAUUACUGGGCGUAAAGGGCUCGUAGGCGGCCAACUAAGUCAGACGUGAAAUCCCUCGGCUUAACCGGGGAACUGCGUCUGAUACUGGAUGGCUUGAGAUUGGGAGAGGGAUGCGGAAUUCCAGGUGUAGCGGUGAAAUGCGUAGAGAUCGGGAGGAAUACCAGUGGCGAAAGCGGCACCCUGGCGUCGUACUGACGCACAUGUGCGAAAGCGUGGGGAGCGAACGGG